GCAUUGUGAUUGUUCAACAAAAUAAAUCUUGAGAAAUACGAUGAGCAUAAUAAUUGUGCAUAUGCAGUGUAGUAAUGGGAUGAGCUAAUUGAAUUUAAAAAAAUGUAUGCACAUCCACAUAUUACCUCAUUCAUAUCUUCCUCCUCUUCAUUGUCAGGGUCCUCAUCUUGAUUCUCUUGACUCACCGUAGAACUCUGAACACAGCUACAGAUCCCCAGCAGUUGAAACCAGACAGAAAUGUGGUGUAGCAUUUUCUCACCGACCAAUCACGAACCUCGCGAGUUUGUUGUCGCCGCGCGAGUAACGAGUGCUCGCUUAUCCUGCUGAGAUGGUCUAGGCUACAUAGAAAACAUGGAGCGGGUGUGGAUUGGGCAAUCAAACCUAAGUCAUAUUAAUGUUAGCAGCAAAAUGAAGAUAAAAAGAAAGGUGUUUGAGGAAAAGGAGGCCCCACACCCACCAAAAAAAAAGUUUAGAAAAAACAGGAGACAUUUGAAGACGAGAUUUUUCAGCAAUAUGAAGAAGACCGGGCCCAGGAUAAAAAGAAAAUUAUAUGACUAA
rnacentral:lncRNA from 1 species